GUUGUCACCUCUCUGUGUGUGGAGUAAAGGUGAUCUAGUUGUCACCUCUCUGUGUGUAGAGUAAAGGUGAUCUAGUUGUCACCUCUCUGUGUGUGGAGUAAAUGUGAUCUAGAGUUGUCACCUCUCUGUGUGUGGAGUAAAGGUGAUCUAGAGUUGUCACCUCUCUGUGUGUGGAGUAAAGGUGAUCUAGAGUUGUCACCGUUCUGUGUGUGGAGUAAAGGUGAUCUAGAGUUGUCACCGUUCUGUGUGUGGAGUAAAGGUGAUCUAGAGUUGUCACCUCUCUGUGUGUGGAGUAAAGGUGAUCUAGAGUUGUCACCUCUCUGUGUGUGGAGUAAAGGUGAUCUAGUUGUCACCUCUCUGUGUGUGGAGUAAAUGUGAUCUAGAGUUGUCACCUCUCUGUGUGUGGAGUAAAGGUGAUCUAGAGUUGUCACCUCUCUGUGUGUGGAGUAAAGGUGAUCUAGAGUUGUCACCGUUCUGUGUGUGGAGUAAAGGUGAUCUAGAGUUGUCACCGUUCUGUGUGUGGAGUAAAGGUGAUCUAGAGUUGUCACCGUUCUGUGUGUGGAGUAAAGGUGAUCUAGUUGUCACCUCUCUGUGUGUGGAGUAAAGGUGAUCUAGAGUUGUCACCUCUCUGUGUGUGGAGUAAAGGUGAUCUAGAGUUGUCACCGUUCUGUGUGUGGAGUAAAGGUGAUCUAGAGUUGUCACCGUUCUGUGUGUGGAGUAAAGGUGAUCUAGUUGUCACCUCUCUGUGUGUGGAGUAAAUGUGAUCUAGAGUUGUCACCUCUCUGUGUGUGGAGUAAAGGUGAUCUAGAGUUGUCACCUCUCUGUGUGUGGAGUAAAGGUGAUCUAGAGUUGUCACCAUUCUGUGUGUGGAGUAAAGGUGAUCUAGAGUUUUGUCACAUCUAGUUGCAAAGGUGACGUGCUGGUGAUAAUGAGUUCACACAGAUUUCAGUAUCCUUGCAUUAAAAUCACUGGCCAUG